GACGAACGCUGGCGGCGUGCUUAACACAUGCAAGUCGAGCGGUAAGGCCCUUUCGGGGGUACACGAGCGGCGAACGGGUGAGUAACACGUGGGUGACCUGCCCUCAGCUCUGGGAUAAGCCUGGGAAACCGGGUCUAAUACUGGAUAUGACUCCAUGACGCAUGUUGUGGGGUGGAAAGCCUUGUGCGGCUGAGGAUGGGCCCGCGGCCUAUCAGCUUGUUGGUGGGGGUGANGGCCUACCAAGGCGACGACGGGUAGCCGGCCUGAGAGGGCGACCGGCCACACUGGGACUGAGACACGGCCCAGACUCCUACGGGAGGCAGCAGUGGGGAAUCUUGCGCAAUGGGCGAAAGCCUGACGCAGCGACGCCGCGUGAGGGAUGACGGCCUCGGUUGUAACGUACUUCUACGC
rnacentral:rRNA from 1 species